UUUUCAUCAAACGACUUUCCUCUCUCUUCCCGUCAAAGAUUUCCUCUCAUACCAUUCAUCAAACGACUUUCCUCUCUCUUCCCGUCAAAGAUUUCCUCUCAUACCAUAAAAGGAUUUCCCUCCUAUUGUCGAAAAACAACAGAAGUUAGGGUUUGGGAGAGAGGAAGAACAGAGAUGACAAAUCACCAUUGGAGAUCGAAUCCAAGGCAAGAAACUUCGAAGCAAUGCUUCUCUCGGUGCUGGGAAAGGAGUUUGGGUGGUGGAUUCACUCAUUCUGGCAAGAAAAUCCGAGAAUGGACAAAUUUCUUGAAGUUCCUGGAAGAGAAUCGGACGAAAAUCGGAGUUUAGUCGGACUUCGGGUAAACGGAUCGAAAACAGAAAAGAGAGAGAAAGAGACCGCCAUGCGUCGACCGGCAAACGGAAGAGCGCAGCGGAGCCAGCGUGUGUCACGUGGCAACGUUCCACUCGUGGUCUGAGUCGAGUCGACCCGUACGCCCGUCGAGCCGGUUCAAAAACCCGCGAUCCAACCCGACGCUUCCCGCCAAACACUGCACGCCACGUGUCGCGCUCAGAAAAUUUGAAGGACCUAUCAAGGAAAUUCCAUAAGUUUUGAAAUCUUUUCCGGCAAAUAAAUUCGAGCUCGGAAAGGCACGCGUCAACCAUGUAAGUAGCCAUUUGGAUUUCCACGAGCAGUACUUUUGGGAACCGCUAGGAACAAGCAUGCAUGCUUCCACCCAUUAACUUAGCUAGCUGGACCUAGUAUAUUAGUAUGAAAACUACGAAAUAAAGAAAUGAUUAAGGAAAGCUAGAUAUGAAAUGUUUAUUAAAUCUGUUUGAUUGAGAUUCUGAUAAAGUAUGUAUGCAUGAGGAGGAUGGGAAACUUGUGAAAUCUACGCUCCGGGUAAAGAUGUACGUUAUCUUCCCGUUGAGCAUGUUUGUCAAUAUUGCAUGAACUGCUGUGUGUUAAUUCUUAUGCAUGAUGAUUGCUUGUGUUAUCUUUCUUGAUGAAUAGGAAGAAAUUAUGAGCUUAGAUUAGGGUGCUUGUGACGAAGUAGACUAGACGAGACCCUAGAUUGGGGGACCUCUAGAAUACCGUGCAAUUAGACCCGUGAAAUGAUUACUGGCGGAUCCAGAGCCUAGAAUUCCAAACCCAACAGAUUUGUGAGACCAGGCAUGAGAAUCCUAGAGAUACAUGAAUCCAAGUCUAAGCUACCAAUCCACCCUAGAAAGAAUAAUAGGUCACCACGGUAACUCUAGGUAGCCCGCUAGAGUUGAGCAGUGUAGAGAGUGUCAUCAGAACCUCCACUUCCCUUCUCCUCCGAUACCACACCGUCGAGACAGAGCUCUAGUACGGUGAUCGUUAAGCUUGGCAGAUCCGGAUAGGGAAGUGUGACAGGUGCCCGGACCUAGUGGUGAUAGCUAAAAGGUCUUCUGAACAGAACUCUUGGGCUGUAGAAACUCGUCCCUGAGCGGGGGACGUGGAGCCACAUAGGAUAACUCAGUAGCUGACCGGCACACACGGGGUCGCACCCCGUUUAGUGGAUGUAUGGUCCCGUGUGAGGGUCGUCAGCUAACCUCCACGGAUGAUGUUCAAAGAGAGUCACGUAUUCAGAUCCAGCCAUACGAUCCCCUCAGAUUUUCUUAUGAGGUCGCGCCUCGCCUCAGGACACUGAUCAUUUCACUGCAUAAGAUGGGAACGCCUUUUAAGAUUCAGAAAAGAGAGUUGUAGCUUAGAUCACUCUCCUUUGAAACCCGAGAAAGACAGUGGAUACCUACCAAGAUAAGGAUGUGAAAAGAGCCUACAAGUAGGCUACUUCCUAAGUUUUUUUAUACUCACCCCUUUCUCCCCUUUUCUUUUUUAGGUACCCGUCGAUACGGGGAGGUGUUCGAGAGCUGCACAGUCAUAGAGGGGUGUUGUUCCGGAGCGUCAGUCCCUUGUCAGUUUUUUGAGUCUUUUGUAUUUUUCUUCAUAAUUGUAUU